UGCUACCUACGGGGGGCAGCAGUAGGGAAUAUUGCUCAAUGGGGGAAACCCUGAAGCAGCAACGCCGCGUGGAGGAUGAAGGUUUUGGGAUUGUAAACUCCUUUUGUUAGAGAAGAUAAUGACGGUAUCUAACGAAUAAGCACCGGCUAACUCCGUGCCAGCAGCCGCGGUAAUACGGAGGGUGCAAGCGUUACUCGGAAUCACUGGGCGUAAAGAGUGCGUAGGCGGGGUAAUAAGUCAGGUGUGAA
rnacentral:rRNA from 1 species